CAUAACGACUCUCGGCAACGGAUAUCUCGGCUCUCGCAUCGAUGAAGAACGUAGCGAAAUGCGAUACUUGGUGUGAUAUUGCNNAAUCCCGUGAACCAUCGAGUCUUUGAACGCAAGUUGCGCCCAAAGCCAUUCGGCUGAGGGCACGUCUGCCUGGGCGUCACGCA
rnacentral:rRNA from 1 species